rnacentral:rRNA from 1 species
GACGAACGCUGGCGGCGUGCUUAACACAUGCAAGUCGAACGGUAAGGCCCUUCGGGGUACACGAGUGGCGAACGGGUGAGUAACACGUGGGUGAUCUGCCCUGCACUUCGGGAUAAGCCUGGGAAACUGGGUCUAAUACCGGAUAGGACUCCGGACUGCAUGGUCUGGGGUGGAAAGCUUUUGCGGUGUGGGAUGGGCCCGCGGCCUAUCAGCUUGUUGGUGGGGUGAUGGCCUACCAAGGCGACGACGGGUAGCCGGCCUGAGAGGGUGACCGGCCACACUGGGACUGGGAUACGGCCCAGACUCCUACGGGAGGCAGCAGUGGGGAAUAUUGCACAAUGGGCGCAAGCCUGAUGCAGCGACGCCGCGUGAGGGAUGACGGCCUUCGGGUUGUAAACCUCUUUCAGCAUCGACGAAGCGAAAGUGACGGUAGGUGCAGAAGAAGGACCGGCCAACUACGUGCCAGCAGCCGCAGUAA